AUUCAGAUGAAGAGUCCCAUAUGGGUCGAAACGCGUGUCCUGGAU
rnacentral:hammerhead_ribozyme from 1 species